rnacentral:rRNA from 1 species
UACAGAGGGUGCGAGCGUUGUUCGGAAUUAUUGGGCGUAAAGCGCUUGUAGGCGGCACGUCAAGUCGCGUGUGAAAUCCCCAGGCUUAACCUGGGAAGUGCGCGCGAAACUGACGAGCUUGAGUGCCGGAGAGGGUCGCGGAAUUCCCGGUGUAGAGGUGAAAUUCGUAGAUAUUCGCAAGAACACCAGUGGCGAAGGCGGCUCACUGGCCCGGUACUGACGCUGAGGUGCGAAAGCGUGGGGAGCAAACAGG